rnacentral:rRNA from 1 species
AUUGAACGCUGGCGGCAGGCCUAACACAUGCAAGUCGAGCGAGAGGCGGACGGGUGAGUAAUGUAUGGGGACUGCCCGAUAUGGGGGGGUAACUACUGGGAACGGUAGAUAAUACCGCAUACUAUAGGAUUACCCAUAUGGGAUUAGCUAGUAGGGGUGGUAAUGGCUCACCAAGGCGACGAGCCCUAGCUGGUCUGAGAGGAUGAUCAGCCACACUGGGACUGAGACACGGCCCAGACUCCUACGGAGGCAGCAGUGGGGAAUAUUGCACAAUGGGCGCAAGCCUGAUGCAGCCAUGCCGCGUGUAUGAAGAAGGCCCUAGGGUUGUAAAGUACUUUCAGUCGGGAGGCGUUACCGACAGAAGAAGCACCGGCUAACUCCGUGCCAGCAGCCGCGGUAAUUC